AGGGAGACCUAAUUCAGGUAUAAGACGAAAAAAAAGUAGUCCCUACCAAGAAUCAAUCCCAAAAGGUCGGAACGAGGUAUGAGGCUUUCAAACUAGGUUCUGGGUUCAUAAAAGACCUGAAUCAGGAACAAGGGCUAUUAGCUCAGGUGGUUAGAGCGCACCCCUGAUAAGGGUGAGGUCCCUGGUUCGAGUCCAGGAUGGCCCACCUGCACAGGUGGCAAAAACAAGAGAAGCGAGGAAUCAGCACCUUAUCUUAUAUACAUAUAUAAGAGAGAAUGCUGGCUCUGAGUACAGAGUCCAGAGGAACCUUGAAAACUGCAUAGAGCUAGGUGAAAAAGCCAAAAAAGAAGACCGCAA
rnacentral:tRNA from 1 species